AUUCAGCUGACAAGUCUCAAAUAGGACGAAAUGUGCCUCUUGGAU
rnacentral:hammerhead_ribozyme from 1 species